CUAUUCAAUGAUUUUGCUCAACAUAAUAUAUUGAAUUGACGAUUUCUUUCAGCAAUGUCAUUGGGGUAGAGGGCACGCUGCAGUCAGCACAGAGGCUCUUACCUCCGUGUUUGCAGAGAAGUUAGCGGAAAACACGGAGGCUCGAGGAACCAAGAGAAACGGUUCUGUCGUGAAUCGGAUAAUUGACUACCUCAGGUCAAUAGAUAAGAAGAUUGACUGUUUGUCGACAGAAGUAAAAAAAACUCAGGGAGGAGAUUUCCUCAAGCAAAGACUGUAGAAGGAAGGAAGACCUCCAAGAAUCAGAACAGCAGUUCAUGAUGCAUACAAGCAUGCUAUAGAGGAUGGUUCUGAAGAAUGGGUGACCAAAAUGGCAGACAAAAAUUUGAAGGUCUCAUCUGAUGAAAAUAAGGAGAUAACUGAAGCGUUAAGGCGCUUUGUGAAGGGACUUUACCCUGAGGUUCAGGAUGGUGUAAUCCAAG